rnacentral:rRNA from 1 species
AACGAACGCUGGCGGCAGGCCUAACACAUGCGAGUCGAGCGCCCCGCCAGGGGAGCGGCGGCCGGGUGAGUAACGCGUGGGAAUAUGCCCUUUGCUACGGAAUAGUCUCGGGAAACUGGGGGUAAUACCGUAUACGCCCUUUGGGGGAAAGAUUUAUCGGCGAAGGAUUAGCCCGCGUUGGAUUAGGUAGUUGGUGGGGUAAUGGCCUACCAAGCCGACGAUCCAUAGCUGGUUUGAGAGGAUGAUCAGCCACACUGGGACUGAGACACGGCCCAGACUCCUACGGGAGGCAGCAGUGGGGAAUCGUAGACAAUGGGGGCAACCCUGAUCUAGCCAUGCCGCGUGAGUGAUGAAGGCCUUAGGGUUGUAAAGCGCUUUCAGCUGGGAAGAUAAUGACGGUACCAGCAGAAGAAGCCCCGGCUAACUCCGUG